rnacentral:rRNA from 1 species
AGUGAACGCUGGCGGUAGGCCUAACACAUGCAAGUCGAACGGCAGCACAGUAAGAGCUUGCUCUUACGGGUGGCGAGUGGCGGACGGGUGAGGAGUACAUCGGAAUCUACUUUUUCAUGGGGGAUAACGUAGGGAAACUUACGCUAAUACCGCAUACGACCUACGGGUGAAAGCAGGGGAUCUUCGGACCUUGCGCGAUUGAAUGAGCCGAUGUCGGAUUAGCUAGUUGGCGGGGUAAAGGCCCACCAAGGCGACGAUCCGUAGCUGGUCUGAGAGGAUGAUCAGCCACACUGGAACUGAGACACGGUCCAGACUCCUACGGGAGGCAGCAGUGGGGAAUAUUGGACAAUGGGCGCAAGCCUGAUCCAGCCAUACCGCGUGGGUGAAGAAGGCCUUCGGGUUGUAAAGCCCUUUUGUUGGGAAAGAAAAGCAGCAGGUUAAUACCCCGCUGUUCUGACGGUACCCAAAGAAUAAGCACCGGCUAACUUCGUG